CCAGGGUGGGAGAAGGAGUGUUCACUGAAGAAAUCUGUAUGAUGGACUAGUGAAGGCAACUGGCCCGAACUACCGCUGCUGAGCCAUCUGGUUGCACCUUCAGGGAUGUUCAUGCACUGAGAAGUAUUAGUCUAGGCUACCGAAUGAGAUGCAUGAAAGAAGUCUGUGACCUGGCGCAGAACAGACCAGUGAAGCGUAUGCUGGAUUGGAAGAACCAUCUUUGGCCUGAAGACUUUGUACAGGUCUGUGCUAAGUAAUGGGAAUUACGAGAUGUUGAAGACCCAGUCUCCCAUCUUGAGAAGUCUUGAAUUGAGUAAAGGCUGCC
rnacentral:lncRNA from 1 species